AACGAACGCUGGCGGCGGGCCUCAUACAUGCAAGUCGAGCGCGAAAGUCCGCAAGGAUGAGUAAAGCGGCGCACGGGUGAGUAACACGUGGAUAAUCUACCCUUUGGAUUGGAAUAACCUGUCGAAAGACGGGCUAAUGCCAAGUAAGCUCUCGGAAAUGUGAUGUUUCUGCGAGGAAAGAUGGUGCAAGCUAUCGCCGAAGGAUGAGUCUGCGUCCCAUUAGCUAGUUGGUGGGGUAAAAGCUUACCAAGGCAAUGAUGGGUACCUGGUCUGAGAGGAUGACCAGGCACACUGGAACUGAAACACGGUCCAGACUCCUACGGGAGGCAGCAGUAGGGAAUAUUGCGCAAUGGACGAAAGUCUGACGCAGCCACGCCGCGUGAGUGAAGAAGGCCUUCGGGUUGUAAAGCUCUUUUGUUCAGGGAAGAAAAGGUUGUAGGCUAAUAUCCACAACUGCUGACGGUACCUGAAGAAUAAACAACCGG
rnacentral:rRNA from 1 species